AACGAACGCUGGCGGCAGGCCUAACACAUGCAAGUCGAGCGCCCCGCAAGGGGAGCGGCGGACGGGUGAGUAACGCGUGGGAACGUACCCUUUGCUACGGAAUAGCCUCGGGAAACUGGGAGUAAUACCGUAUGUGCCCUUCGGGGGAAAGAUUUAUCGGCAAAGGAUCGGCCCGCGUUGGAUUAGGUAGUUGGUGGGGUAAUGGCCUACCAAGCCGACGAUCCAUAGCUGGUUUGAGAGGAUGAUCAGCCACACUGGGACUGAGACACGGCCCAGACUCCUACGGGAGGCAGCAGUGGGGAAUCUUAGACAAUGGGCGCAAGCCUGAUCUAGCCAUGCCGCGUGAGCGAUGAAGGCCUUAGGGUUGUAAAGCUCUUUCAGGGGGGAA
rnacentral:rRNA from 1 species